rnacentral:rRNA from 1 species
AGACUGGGAUAACUCGUGGAAACGCGAGCUAAUACCGGAUAAUACAACCGACCUCCUGGCAGGUUGUUGAAAGAUGGCUCCUCGGAGCUAUCACUUACAGAUGGGCCCGCGGCGCAUUAGCUAGUUGGUGAGGUAACGGCUCACCAAGGCAACGAUGCGUAGCCGACCUGAGAGGGUGAUCGGCCACACUGGGACUGAGACACGGCCCAGACUCCUACGGGAGGCAGCAGUAGGGAAUCUUCCGCAAUGGACGAAAGUCUGACGGAGCAACGCCGCGUGAACGAAGAAGGUUUUCGGAUCGUAAAGUUCUGUUGUUAGGGAAGAACAAGUACCGUUCGAACAGGGCGGUACCUUGACGGUACCUAACGAGGAAGCCCCGGCUAACUACGUGCCAGCAGCCGCGGUAAUACGUAGGGGGCAAGCGUUGUCCGGAAUUAUUGGGCGUAAAGCGCGCGCAGGCGGUUUUUUAAGUCUGAUGUGAAAUCUUGUGGCUCAACCACAAGCGGUCAUUGGAAACUGGAGAACUUGAGGACAGAAGAGGA